UGGGGAAUUGUUCGCAAUGGGCGCAACCCUGACGCAGCGACGCCGCGUGUGGGAUGAAGGUCUUCGGAUUGUAAACCACUGUCGCGAGGGACGAAGCUCUGACGGUACCUCGAAAGGAAGCACCGGCUAACUCUGUGCCAGCAGCCGCGGUAAUACAGAGGGUGCGAGCGUUGUCCGGAAUCACUGGGCGUAAAGGGCGCGUAGGCGGCCCGGUAAGUAGGGGGUGAAAUCUCAUGGCUCAACUGUGAGGCUGCCUUCUAGACUGCCAGGCUUGAGCACAGUAGAGGCGAGUGGAAUUCCCGGUGUAGCGGUGGAAUGCGUAGAGAUCGGGAAGAACAUCGGUGGCGAAGGCGGCUCGCUGGGCUGUUGCUGACGCUGAGGCGCGAAAGCGUGGGGAGCAAACAGGAUUAGAUACCCAUGUAGUCCCUGAGCGGGCUGGCAAGGCGCAU
rnacentral:rRNA from 1 species